UACGAAGGGGGCUAGCGUUGCUCGGAAUCACUGGGCGUAAAGCGCACGUAGGCGGACUCUUAAGUCGGUGGUGAAAUCCUGGAGCUCAACUCCAGAACUGCCUUCGAUACUGAGAGUCUCGAGUCCCGAGAGAGGUGAGUGGAACUGCGAGUGUAGAGGUGAAAUUCGUAGAUAUUCGUCAAGAACACCAGUGGCGAAGGCGGCUCACUGGCUCG
rnacentral:rRNA from 1 species